UAGAGUUUGAUCCUGGCUCAGGACGAACGCUGGCGGCGUGCUUAACACAUGCAAGUCGAACGAUGAAGCCCAGCUUGCUGGGUGGAAGAGUGGCGAACGGGUGAGUAACACGUGAGUAACCUGCCCCUUACUCUGGGAUAAGCGCUGGAAACGGUGUCUAAUACUGGAUAUGACUCAUACCGGCAUCGGUUGUGAGUGGAAAGAUUUAUCGGUAAGGGAUGGGCUCGCGGCCUAUCAGGUUGUUGGUGAGGUAACGGCUCACCAAGCCUACGACGGGUAGCCGGCCUGAGAGGGUGACCGGCCACACUGGGACUGAGACACGGCCCAGACUCCUACGGGAGGCAGCAGUGGGGAAUAUUGCACAAUGGGCGAAAGCCUGAUGCAGCAACGCCGCGUGAGGGAUGACGGCCUUCGGGUUGUAAACCUCUUUUAGUAGGGAAGAAGCGUAAGUGACGGUACCUACAGAAAAAGCACCGGCUAACUACGUGCCAGCAGCCGCGGUAAUA
rnacentral:rRNA from 1 species